UUGUGUAUGAAACACAGCAGGUAUCCCAUUGAGGCCUUGCUUUGUGUAUGAAACACAGCAGGUAUCCCAUUGAGGCCUUGCUUUGUGUAUGAAACACAGCAGGUAUCCCAUUGAGGCCUUGCUUUGUGUAUGAAACACAGCAGGUAUCCCAUUGAGGCCUUGCUUUGUGUAUGAAACACAGCAGGUAUCCCAUUGAGGCCUUGCUUUGUGUAUGAAACACAGCAGGUAUCCCAUUGAGGCCUUGCUUUGUGUAUGAAACACAGCAGGUAUCCCAUUGAGGCCUUGCUUUGUGUAUGAAACACAGCAGGUAUCCCAUUGAGGCCUUGCUUUGUGUAUGAAACACAGCAGAUAUCCCAUUGAGGCCUUGCUUUGUGUAUGAAACACAGCAGGUAUCCCAUUGAGGCCUUGCUUUGUGUAUGAAACACAGCAGGUAUCCCAUUGAGGCCUUGCUUUGUGUAUGAAACACAGCAGGUAUCCCAUUGAGGCCUUGCUUUGUGUAUGAAACACAGCAGGUAUCCCAUUGAGGCCUUUGUCCUAUGCUGUA